rnacentral:rRNA from 1 species
UACGAGGGGUGCAAGCGUUGCUCGGAAUUAUUGGGCGUAAAGGGCAGGUAGGUGGUCUCAUUUGUCAGGGGUGAAAGCCUUGGGCUUAACCCAAGAAGUGCCUUUGAAACGGUGAGACUGGAGUCUUGGAGAGGGUCGUGGAAUUCCCAGUGUAGCGGUGAAAUGCGUAGAGAUUGGGAGGAACACCAGCGGCGAAGGCGGCGACCUGGACAAGCACUGACACUCAACUGCGAAAGCGUGGGUAGCAAACAGG